rnacentral:tRNA from 3 species
UCCUCCAUAGCUCAGUUGGUUAGAGCAUCUGACUGUUAAUCAGAGGGUCCCUGGUUCAAGUCCAGGUGGGGGAGCCA